rnacentral:rRNA from 3 species
AGAGUUUGAUCCUGGCUCAGGAUGAACGCUGGCGGCGUGCCUAAUACAUGCAAGUCGAGCGAACGGACGAGAAGCUUGCUUCUCUGAUGUUAGCGGCGGACGGGUGAGUAACACGUGGAUAACCUACCUAUAAGACUGGGAUAACUUCGGGAAACCGGAGCUAAUACCGGAUGAUAUUUUGAACCGCAUGGUUCAAAAGUGAAAGACGGUCUUGCUGUCACUUAUAGAUGGAUCCGCGCUGCAUUAGCUAGUUGGUAAGGUAACGGCUUACCAAGGCAACGAUGCAUAGCCGACCUGAGAGGGUGAUCGGCCACACUGGAACUGAGACACGGUCCAGACUCCUACGGGAGGCAGCAGUAGGGAAUCUUCCGCAAUGGGCGAAAGCCUGACGGAGCAACGCCGCGUGAGUGAUGAAGGUCUUCGGAUCGUAAAACUCUGUUAUUAGGGAAGAACAUAUGUGUAAGUAACUGUGCACAUCUUGACGGUACCUAAUCAGAAAGCCACGGCUAACUACGUGCCAGCAGCCGCGGUAAUACGUAGGUGGCAAGCGUUAUCCGGAAUUAUUGGGCGUAAAGCGCGCGUAGGCGGUUUUUUAAGUCUGAUGUGAAAGCCCACGGCUCAACCGUGGAGGGUCAUUGGAAACUGGAAAACUUGAGUGCAGAAGAGGAAAGUGGAAUUCCAUGUGUAGCGGUGAAAUGCGCAGAGAUAUGGAGGAACACCAGUGGCGAAGGCGACUUUCUGGUCUGUAACUGACGCUGAUGUGCGAAAGCGUGGGGAUCAAACAGGAUUAGAUACCCUGGUAGUCCACGCCGUAAACGAUGAGUGCUAAGUGUUAGGGGGUUUC